CUCUAUGGCGGGCCGUGCGGGCAGCCUCACGGCUGGCCGGUUUUCUUCUUGUCCGGUAUUCCUACCCCGCAUAGCCUGCCGCCUUU
rnacentral:antisense_RNA from 1 species